AUAUCUAUAUAAAAUAUCUAAUGAUCUAAUAUAUCUAACACUUCUCAUCAAGUUGGUAUGUGUAGCAUGGAAGAACUAGAAAUCCAAAAGGAAGGAAAAAAAUCGGCUUAGUAAAGUAGAAUACACGUUGGAGAGGUAGAGGAAAACCUUAAAAGAAUAGAUAAUGGUAAUCCUGCUGAAGUUUGGAAGUGUGUAGGCGAACAAGAUAUUGCUUGGCUCACUAAGCUAUUUAACAGAAUUUUGAUAUCUCAGAAAAUGUCAAAUGUGUGGAGGAGCACUUUGGUCCCAAUAUUUAAGAACAAUAUGAAAUUAUUAGAAAAGAUGAUUACAUAUAGAAUAUCUAAGCUAUACAUUCCAAGUACUCAACCUGCAUUGGUGUAAUAAGGUUUUGUUGUUGUACUAUUGCAAUCCCCCCUCUUCUAAAAUAAAUAAUUCAUCACAGCACAGCUUUUAACUGAUUUGGACAUAUUGCAAAAUAGUGACUUAAAGUGUGUUCAAUUUUUUUAUAACCACUAACAUAACUUAGAGACAUACUAGAAAAAAACAUAAGAUGCUUAUUUACUUCUAUAUGAAGUAAAGACAUCCCAUUCUCUUAUAUUCAUUAGCAUUAAUGUUUUUUCAAACUUUUUUUUCUUUAUGAAAUUUGUCCAGUCUUCAAAUUUUCUCCAUAGCUGCUAUUAUGAAAACAAUAUUGGAAGAUAAUAUCC
rnacentral:sRNA from 1 species